UACGAAGGGGGCUAGCGUUGCUCGGAAUCACUGGGCGUAAAGGGUGCGUAGGCGGGUCUUUAAGUCAGGGGUGAAAUCCUGGAGCUCAACGUCCAGAACUGCCUUUGAUACUGAGGAUCUUGAGUUCGGGAGAGGUGAGUGGAACUGCGAGUGUAGAGGUGAAAUUCGUAGAUAUUAGCUAGAACACCAGUGCGAAGGCGGCCAACUGGUCCGACACUGACGCUGAGGUGCGAAAGCGUGGGGAGCAACAGGG
rnacentral:rRNA from 1 species